rnacentral:rRNA from 1 species
UACGUAGGGUGCGAGCGUUAAUCGGAAUUACUGGGCGUAAAGCGUGCGCAGGCGGCGCGUUAAGACAGGUGUGAAAGCCCCGAGCUUAACUUGGGAAUUGCGCUUGUGACUGGCGUGCUGGAGUGUGGCAGAGGGAGGUGGAAUUCCACGUGUAGCAGUGAAAUGCGUAGAGAUGUGGAGGAACACCAGGGGCGAAGGCGGAUCGCUGGGCCAACACUGACGCUGAUGUGCGAAAGCUAGGGGAGCAAACGGG